rnacentral:misc_RNA from 1 species
UGGGGGUUGCGGGCUUCAUCAAUGAUGUCGGCUCUCCUUAAAUGCAUUAGCGGAACUUUUGUGGACCGUCUAUUGGUGUGAUAGUUAUCUACGCCGUGGAUGUGAUGCAGCUUUAUGAAGUUCAGCUUCUAACCGUCCAUUGACUUGGACAAUUUUGACAAUUUGACCUCAAAUCAGGUAGGACUACCCGCUGAACUUAA